GCCAAUCUUCCGCUAAAAUUAUGAAAAUUAUACUACGCAAUAGAAUGAAUGCUUUUACACCACGUCAUUAACAUAAAGAUGUUUCUUAUAUCCAGUAGCUUCGAUAUCACUGUAGAGCUAACAUCCAAACUGAAUGGUGUAAUUCGCGACCCCCAAUAGUAACGCAUCGCGUGAUUUCGGCCCAUUCAAUUCGAAUCGUGUGAGUUGUUUAUAGGCCCACAUGUUUUUUAUAAUGAUUCAUUUUUGUAACGUCACGUUCCACUAUAACAACAAAAUCAUUAUUCAUAUUAAUAAAAUGAUCAGACGAUUCAGUACAAAGGGCACAAGUUUUUCUCCUAAAUCGUUAGUAAACAAUUGCCUUUGUGGGUAGUCACUUUAUUUCAUAUGAAGUUCUGAAACGAAAUUGUCGGAAUGUUCUACUUCGCAAUUUUAUUGUUAAAACUCAUCUACCAUUUAAUUGCAAUUGGCGGAAAGUUUGCAGCUGAAUUUGAAUGAAUUGCAACCUGUUGCCAUUAGCAGCACGUCGACAUUGGAAUAUUUCUAAAAAAAAUAGAAUUAACAACAGGAAAAAUAUUCUAAGUCAAACCAAGUUAUCAGCCUUGGGAUUUAAUCGUUUUAAAAUUUUUGUAGGUGGCAUAGCAGCACAACAUAAUGGGAAAUCUUUAGAUAUCAAAGUGUGAAGUUCAAGGUAUCUUUUAUCAGCCGUAUAGCGAACGCUUGAAUGUACUAUAAACCAAAUCCGAUAAGUACGCGCAGAAUGUGAUAUGAAUAUAUGCUGCUAAUUUUCGUAGAAUUUAUUUGCUGAUGUAUCACCAAUCAAUUAAUGAAUUGAUAAGCUCGUCUGGAGGAAUGAAAUUAUAUCAAUGUUAAGGGGGAGAGAAUGGAGUUAUCAUAUUUCCUGUUGCGAUGACUUUCCUGGGCGUUUCAAUUACUCAUACGAGGGCGGUCCGAUAAGUACUUAGCCUACCAAAAAAAAAACGAAAAUUUUUGAAAAGUGGCGAAUUAUUUCUCGACA